rnacentral:rRNA from 1 species
AAACGCUUGAAGUCAGUCGCGUCGUUCAGAACUCAACCUGGCUUUUGCUUGGUGCACUUUCUGUUUGACGGGCCAACAUCAGUUUUGACUGCUGGAGAAAAGCCUUUGGAAUGUGGCACCUUCGGGUGUGUUAUAGCCUUGGGUUGUAUACAGUGGUUGAGACUGAGGACCGCAGCACGCCUUCUGGCCGGGGUUCGCCCACGUACGUGCUUAGGAUGUUGGCGUAAUGGCUUUAAACGA